GCUGAUGCAACAACAGCGCUCACUGCUCAGUAUAUAACCCGGCAGCUAGGAGGAAGACGGCGCUUCUCAACCUUACGCAUUCAUGGAAGAAACAAAGAAACCGUCAGUGGAAGAGUUAGGUGAGGUCUCGGGGAAACAGUCGGAGGAAAUCACGCUAAAAUGGUCUAUACACAAGCUCUGGUGUUCGGCAUGUCCGUCAGGAAUGAGCCGGAAAACCUAACGCUGGCGGAGGACCUAAGCCUCAUCCCGGGGCUCAGAGGAGACGGAGAGCCGCUCCAGCACUGCGGUAGACUCAUGAAGGCACAAAGCUUCUCCAGUCUGGGAUCUGCGUGCAGUUUGGAAGAGGAAGAAGGUGAAGAUGUGUGUCUUCAGCUUGACCUGUCCAAACGCAUCGAGAAGUGCCUCUAUGAGGCCAAAGGAGCAAGUCUGCGCUGCCAGGAGCUGCGCUUGCCCAGACACAUGACCACACGGCUGGCCGGAGACAUCCUGCGAUUAUCCGUGGAUGAGCCAUGCGGGAUACGGGGAGCUCUGAUCCACAUGUACAUGGAAAACAAAGGCACACUACUGAAUCUAGGCACAGUUAUUCCUGAUCAGAGUCUCACGCCAACAUUUGAAGUCUCUGUGGUCCUACAGGCAGAUUUGGGAGGAUGGCCUCCGCUGAAGAUCCUGUUUGGUGGAGGGAAGGUGUUGAGCAUUCGAAGAGAAUACCGAAUAAUCAAACGCAAGCUCUACUCAUCCGCUACUCCAACUGUACUGGAGUUUUAUUAACACUGUGGUAUUAAUAGAAAAAAAUGAGUCCAUGGCUGAGGUUUCAGAGGAAGACGAGCUCAUUUUGCACAUUGUUAUUCACAUCGAGGUUAAGUUGGUUUUAUAUUCGCACAUUCGUUCAUUUUAACAGUCCCUAUAUUGGUUACCAAGCCACUUUGAAUAUUCGGUCUGAAAUCGCAUGACUUCAAAACAACAUUACGAUCAUUUCAUUGGCUGUCAACAAUGUCUGAAUUUCGCUAUUCAGAAUUUGCAAGA
rnacentral:lncRNA from 1 species